rnacentral:rRNA from 1 species
GACGAACCGUGCGAACGUUGUUCGGAUUCACUGGGCUUAAAGGGCGCGUAGGCGGGCAUGCCAGUCAGGGGUGAAAGCUCCCGGCCCAACCGGGAAAGUGCCUUUGAUACUGCAUGUCUCGAGGGAGGUAGGGGCACGCGGAACUUCCGGUGGAGCGGUGAAAUGCGUAGAUAUCGGAAGGAACGCCGGUGGCGAAAGCGGCGUGCUGGACCUCUACUGACGCUGAGGCGCGAAGGUCAGGGGAGCAAAGCGGG